AUACUUACCUGGACGGGGUCGACGGCCGAUCAAGAAGGGCCGUGGCCUAGAUCAAUGGCUCACAUUGCACUUUGUGAGAGCGUUGGUUUACCAUCUCCCCAAGUGGGAGAGUGGACGUCAUAAUUUGUGAUAGAGGGGGUACGCGUUCGCGCGGCCCCUG
rnacentral:snRNA from 1 species